UACGGGGGGGGCAAGCGUUGUUCGGAAUUACUGGGCGUAAAGGGCUCGUAGGCGGCCAACUAAGUCGGACGUGAAAUCCCCAGGCUCAACCUGGGAACUGCGUCCGAUACUGGAUGGCUUGAAUCCGGGAGAGGGAUGCAGAAUUCCAGGUGUAGCGGUGAAAUGCGUAGAUAUCUGGAGGAAUACCGGUGGCGAAGGCGGCAUCCUGGACCGGCGUUGACGCUGAGAAGCGAAAGCCAGGGGAGCAAACGGG
rnacentral:rRNA from 1 species